ACCGGCAGCUCAAGUGGUGGCCAUUAUUAUUGGGCCUAAAGCGUUCGUAGCCAGUUUGAUAAGUCUCUGGUGAAAUCCCGCAGCUUAACUGUGGGACUUGCUGGAGAUACUAUCAGACUUGAGGUCGGGAGAGGUUAGGGGUACUCCCAGGAUAGGGGUGAAAUCCUACAAUCCUGGGAGUACCACCUGUGACGAAGGCGCCUAACUCGAACUAACCUGACGGUGAGUAACGAAAUCCAUGUGCUCGAACCG
rnacentral:rRNA from 1 species